rnacentral:rRNA from 1 species
CGGACGGGUGAGUAACGCGUGGGUAACCUGCCCUGUACAGGGGGAUAACAGUCAGAAAUGACUGCUAAUACCGCAUAAGACCACAGCACCGCAUGGUGCAGGGGUAAAAACUCCGGUGGUACAGGAUGGGCUCGCGUCCAAUUAGCUAGAUGGUGAGGUAACGGCCCACCAUGGCGACGAUUGGUAGCCGGACUGAGAGGUUGAUCGGCCACAUUGGGACUGAGACACGGCCCAGACUCCUACGGGAGGCAGCAUG